AGAGUUUGAUCCUGGCUCAGGAUGAACGCUAGCGGGAGGCCUAACACAUGCAAGUCGAGCGGGAUUCACUUUCGGGUGAUGAGAGCGGCGCACGGGUGAGUAACGCGUAUGCAACCUACCUUAAACAGGGGAAUAGCCCAGGGAAACUUGGAUUAAUACCUUAUAAUAUUAUUAGACGGCAUCGUUUAAUAAUUAAAGCUCCGGCGGUUUAAGAUGGGCAUGCGUGACAUUAGUUAGUUGGUGAGGUAACGGCUCACCAAGACUACGAUGUCUAGGGGUUCUGAGAGGAUGAUCCCCCACACUGGUACUGAGACACGGACCAGACUCCUACGGGAGGCAGCAGUGAGGAAUAUUGGUCAAUGGGCGCAAGCCUGAACCAGCCAUCCCGCGUGCAGGAUGACGGCCCUAUGGGUUGUAAACUGCUUUUAUACACCAAGAAAAAUCCCCACGUGUGGGGACCCGACGGUAGUGUAUGAAUAAGCAUCGGCUAACUCCGUGCCAGCAGCCGCGGUAAUACGGAGGAUGCAAGCGUUAUCCGGAUUCAUUGGGUUUAAAGGGUGCGUAGGCGGCUUUUUAAGUCAGUGGUGAAAGUUUUCAGCUUAACGGUAGAAUUGCCAUUGAUACUGAAAAGCUUGAGUACAGUUGAGGUAAGCGGAAUGUGUAGUGUAGCGGUGAAAUGCUUAGAUAUUACACAGAACACCAAUGGCGAAGGCGACUUCCUGGCCUGUUACUGACGCUGAUGCACGAAAGCGUGGGGAGCGAACAGGAUUAGAUACCCUGGUAGUCCACGCCGUAAACGAUGCUCACUCGCUGUUUGCGAUACACAGCAAGCGGCCAAGCGAAAGCAUUAAGUGAGCCACCUGGGGAGUACGAUCGCAAGGUUGAAACUCAAAGGAAUUGACGGGGGCCCGCACAAGCGGAGGAACAUGUGGUUUAAUUCGAUGAUACGCGAGGAACCUUACCCGGGCUUGAAAUGCAUCUGACGUACCUGGAAACAGGUAUUCUAGCAAUAGCAGAUGUGUAGGUGCUGCAUGGUUGUCGUCAGCUCGUGCCGUGAGGUGUCGGCUUAAGUCCCAUAACGAGCGCAACCCUUAUCAUUAGUUGCCAGCGGGUCAAGCCGGGAACUCUAAUGAGACUGCCACCGUAAGGUGUGAGGAAGGUGGGGAUGACGUCAAAUCAGCACGGCCCUUAUGUCCAGGGCGACACACGUGUUACAAUGGCCGGUACAGAGGGUUGCUACCUGGUGACAGGAUGCUAAUCCCAUAAAGUCGGUCCCAGUUCGGAUUGGAGUCUGCAACCCGACUCCAUGAAGUUGGAUUCGCUAGUAAUCGCGCAUCAGCCAUGGCGCGGUGAAUACGUUCCCGGGCCUUGUACACACCGCCCGUCAAACCAUGGGAGCUGGGGGUGCCUGAAGUCUGCCACCGCAAGGAGCGGCCUAGGGUAAAACCAGUGACUGGGGUUAAGUCGUAACAAGGUAACC
rnacentral:rRNA from 1 species